ensembl:snRNA U6 U6 spliceosomal RNA
GUGCUUGCUUCGGCAGCACAUGUACUAAAAUUGGAACGAUACAGAGUAGAUUAGCAUGGCCCCUGCACAAGGAUGACAAAGAUGCUAAGGUGGGGGCAUCUGUGUGC